CGUGAAUGAUACCCUGGUUUGCACGGAUACCCGGGAAGAGAAUUUGAAAGGACUGGAUAGGAUGUUACCCAGUUUCCUGGAUCUUUUGUUUACAGCGCCUGAAAAAAAAAAAAAAAAGAAAAAGCCCAGUUGUGCACCCAACAAGUGAAUUAACUUGGAGUAAUUUUGGAACAGGAGGGCAUUCCCCUGAUCAACAGACAGUGGAGCUGAUUCUCAGACUUUCCGCUCCCACGGAUGUCACGGCUCUUCGAUAUUUUCUGGAAAUGGUUAAUUUCUCCUGAGAUUUCAUGGAGGGAUUUUCGCGAUCCCUACUGCCUGAAUUGUGAAAGGAGGGAGCAGACUGGGACAGCCCUUUGUGCUGCAGAUGGCAACCACAGAAAGGGGGAGGGAAGCUCUGCUGAGUCAGAGCUAUGGAACCGGGCUCUGCCCUGUGGCUGCUGUCUCCAAAGCUUGAGGUGAAGUAAAGAGGGGAUUCACCCUCUGUGAAAAGGAGGUUUUGGCUCUAGUUUGGGCUUUGCAGCAUAGGCGCCGACUCCGUGGGUGCUCUGGGACUGGAGCACCCAUGGAGAAAACUUGGUGGGUGCUCUGCACCCACCGGCAUCUCCCCGUCCCCCCCAGCUAACCUCCGCCUCUCCCGGCAAGGGUGCUGCUUUCCCCCCCCUCCCUCCCAGCGCUUGCGCUGUAAAACAGCUGUUUCGCGUGGCGGGGAGGAGGGGGAACACAGCGUGAUGGGGGAAGAGGCGGGGCCGGGGCGGGGAUUUGGGGAAGGGUCCAAGAGGGGCAGGGAGGGGGUGGAGUUGGGACGGGGACCUUGGGCAAGGGGUUGGGAUGGGGAUGGGGCAGGGGCGGGGCCAGGGAAGGGUGGGGCUCGAGCACCCACCGGCGCCAGGCAAAGUUGGCACCUAUGCUUUGCAGCACUGGGAAUACUUGGUGGGAUUGCCCCCUGUGUUACUGGAAACUGCCCGCUCCCCAGUGAAAUAGGUAUCCAUUGGCAAGAUCAGGGCUGAUGAAUUUGCUGAGUCCCAAGUAGAUGCUCAAAGCACAGUUAAAGAUGAAAGCGCCCCCUCCUGGGGAAAAAGGGGGAGGGGGAAGAGGGUCUUAUGCCCAAAUAGGUCUAAGUACAAGUAAUACGUUGAGUUAAAUGUUUAAAUUAUAUUUAAAUGUAUGGAUCCCGCUAUAUAGGGAGGGGAGAAGUUUUGUUUUGGUUUGUGUUUUAGAGUCUCAAUUGUGUGGAUGCUGGAAGACCUUGGAGACAAGGCAGCCCUGGGUGCUGCUUUGGCUGGCAUUUGGAUCGCAGGCCUACUCCUCUGAUGGUGUGAAUCCGCAACCUUUUGUGCCCGCUUCGUGGGGAAAACUUCCUGUGGACGGCAGAGGUGUGCAAAGUAAAUAACGAUGUUGACCCUGGUAAUCAGCCCAUGCCUCCUGUCAGUGUUUAACGUCACUGGGACAAAAGUGACCCCACCCAUGACCCACCUCGAGAUGCCACAACCAAGGGCCAUCAGCUGGUGGAAGAAGAAGGAAAAAAACAACGACGACGAUACAGGACUUUGGGACUGCAAAUUGGUGCCACAAGUCCUCCUGUUCUUUUUAUGGAUACAGACUAACACGGCUGCUCCUCUGAAACCUGUAAUACAAGGGUUACUCGAGCAGUGAUAAAUCAAACUCUAUAUAGUAAUAGCGAAGAGGACAAAAUGACUUUAUGCCAAGAAGAAAUGGUCUUGCGGUAAAUCCACUGGUCGAGGCCUCAAGACUCCUGUGUUCUAGCCCUGGCUCUGAGAGGAAAGUGGGGUCUAGUAGGAUCGGGGGUAGCACUGGGAAUCAGGAUCACCCUUCAUUGGUAACAGAGAGAAGCUUUCGAAGCAGAGUCUGUGUGAGCUCCAAAGCUUGGCUCUGUCACCAGCAGAAGUUGACCCAAUAAAAGACAUUCCCUCCCCCACCUUGUCUCUCUCCUAUCCUGGGCCCAACCGGACUCCAAUGACACUGCAAAGAGACGGAGAUGGGACCACCACGGUGCUUUGACAUCAACCGAAUAAACCAGCCUCCAUGUUACACACGUUUCCUACAGAAGCCUGCGGAUUUGGUAGUAACCAACUGAGAUCUGCUUGGAUCUGUGUUAAAUUUUCUUUGAUAGCAUCUCGCUUAACAGAGUGGAGAGAGACCUUUGGUUUUCUACUUAGGAUAACUGGACAAUCACACUGAUGGUCCAUUCCCGCCCUUGGCUAGCUGAUACUUGUAAGUUGUUUUUGUUUAAAGUCUCCAUUUUGUAAUA